GAUGAACGCUGGCGGCGUGCCUAAUACAUGCAAGUCGAGCGAACAGACGAGGAGCUUGCUCCUCUGACGUUAGCGGCGGACGGGUGAGUAACACGUGGAUAACCUACCUAUAAGACUGGGAUAACUUCGGGAAACCGGAGCUAAUACCGGAUAAUAUAUUGAACCGCAUGGUUCAAUAGUGAAAGACGGUUUUGCUGUCACUUAUAGAUGGAUCCGCGCCGCAUUAGCUAGUUGGUAAGGUAACGGCUUACCAAGGCGACGAUGCGUAGCCGACCUGAGAGGGGGAGCGGCCACACAGGAAGUGAGACACGGUCCAGGCUCCUACGGGAGGCAGCAGUAGGGAAUCUUCCGCAAUGGGCGAAAGCCUGACGGAGCAACGCCGCGUGAGUGAUGAAGGUCUUCGGAUCGUAAAACUCUGUUAUUAGGGAAGAACAAAUGUGUAAGUAACUAUGCACGUCUUGACGGUACCUAAUCAGAAAGCCACGGCUAACUACGU
rnacentral:rRNA from 1 species